AUGGCCCUGAUCAGGAAGACAUUUUAUUUUCUAUUUGCUAUGUUCUUCAUUUUGGUUCAACUGCCAUCAGGUGCCAGGCAGGACUUGAUUUUUCCCAACCAUUUCCAUCAGUGAGUUUGCUGUCUGUGAGUCGUGCAAGCUUGGUCGGGGAAAAUGCAGGAAGGAGUGCUUGGAGAAUGAGAAGCCCGAUGGAAAUUGCAGGCUGAACUUUCUCUGCUGCAGACAGAG
rnacentral:lncRNA from 1 species